UACGAAGGGGGCUAGCGUUGUUCGGAAUCACUGGGCGUAAAGCGCACGUAGGCGGAUCUUUAAGUCAGGGGUGAAAUCCCGAGGCUCAACCUCGGAACUGCCUUUGAUACUGGGGAUCUCGAGUCCGGGAGAGGUGAGUGGAACUGCGAGUGUAGAGGUGAAAUUCGUAGAUAUUCGGAAGAACACCAGUGGCGAAGGCGGCUCACUGGUCCGGUACUGACGCUGAGGUGCGAAAGCGUGGGGAGCGAACAGG
rnacentral:rRNA from 1 species